AAAUGAAAAAAGCAUGGUCAUGUACACAUAAAUUGAUUUGGGUCUCUAAGCCUACUUUUUCUGAUGCCAUUUGGUUUUGAUUUGGGGGCAUGGUUUUACGACAAAACG